rnacentral:ncRNA from 1 species
UUUUAAAAAAAAAUUAUUUAUGAUUAUUUAAUAUAAUAAUUUUAGUAAUUUAAAUUUAUUAUUAUUUUAAAUAAAAUUUUACUAAAAAUAAUUUUUAUUUAAGGUUAUUUUGUUUAUGUARAUUAAAUUAAUGUAAUAAUAUAUUUAAUUAAAGUUUAAUUCUGACUUAUAAAUUUAUUAUAAAUUUUUUAUAAUAUAUAAAUAUUUAUAAUUUUAAAUAUUUUUAAAUAGGAUAUUUGAAUAAUUGUUAUAAAUUGUAGUAUUUAAAAUUAAAUAAAAAUAAAAUUAAGGUUUGUUUUAGAAAUAUUUAUUUAAAAUGGAAAAAUUUUGUGCCAGCAUUCGCGGUUAGACAAAUGUAUUUAAGUAAAUUAUUUAAAUUUUGUAUAAUUAUUAUAUAUUAUUUAGUUAAGUUUUUUAGUUUUUAUUUUAAAAUAUUAAAUUAAGGUGAAAUUUUAUUAAUUUAUAGAUGUAAAAGUUAAUUUAAUUAUAUGAUAAAUUGUGAAAAUUUUAGUUAAACUAGGAUUAGAUACCCUAUUAUUUUAAUUGUAAAUUGUUUUAGUUUGUAUAAAAGUAAAUAUGAGAUUAUGUUUUAUUAAUAUUUUUAAAAAUAUUUAAUAUAUAAAAUUAGGUAGUAAGUGUUAUGGUCAUGAAACUUAAAGAAUUUGACGGUAAUUCAUUCAUAUUAGAGGAACUUGUUUUUUAAUUGAUGAUCCACGAUAAGAUUUACCUAAAUUAAUAUAAGAAUUUAUUUGUAUACCGCCGUUUUAAAAGAAUUUUUUUAGAAAUUUAAAUUUUUUAAAAAUUAUAUUUUAUUAUUUAAUUUAAUAAUAAUAAUUCAGGUCAAGGUGUAGUAUAUAUUUAGGUUAAGAUGAGUUACAAUAAAAUUUAUUUAUUUAUGGAUUUAAAGUUUUAAAAUAUUUUAUUGAAAGCGGAUUUAAAAGUAAAUUUAAAAAAUUAUUUAGAUUGAUAAGUGUUUUGAAUUAUGUACAUAUCGCCCGUCACUCUCGUUAUAAAAUGAGAUAAGUCGUAACAAAGUAAAAGUACUGGAAAGUGUUUUUAGAAUUAAUUAUUUAUAUUAAUAU